rnacentral:misc_RNA from 1 species
AGUAAAGGAGUUUGCACAACACAAUAGAGAAAGGCGAACAUGUCAAAAGACCUCACAAACCUCACAAAAAACAUACCAAAGAAUGCACUGAUGGACAGGGUCAUCGUGUGCCAGAUGGAGUAGGCUGCUCGCUAUACGCACUAGAAAAAACAGAUGGUCAACAAAAAUGUAAGGUUGGAAUAUGUGUCAACGGAACUUGCACCGGCAUCCACGACGCGACGUGCUCUAACUACUGAACCACGUUCGUUUUACGAAAAAAAUAUUUAUCUUGCAACAACUCUCAACUGGGAAUAAAAUUCAUUUUCACCACUCUG